UACAGAGGUCUCAAGCGUUGUUCGGAUUCAUUGGGCGCAAGGGUGCGUAGGUGGCGUCGUAAGUCAGGUGUGAAAUCUCGGGGCUUAACUCCGAAACUGCAUUUGAUACUGCGGUGCUUGAGGACUGGAGAGGAGACUGGAAUUUACGGUGUAGCAGUGAAAUGCGUAGAGAUCGUAAGGAAGACCAGUGGCGAAGGCGGGUCUCUGGACAGUUCCUGACACUGAGGCACGAAGGCCAGGGGGAGCAAACGGG
rnacentral:rRNA from 1 species